UACGAAGGGGGCUAGCGUUGCUCGGAAUCACUGGGCGUAAAGCGUGCGCAGGCGGUCUUUUAAGUCAGAUGUGAAAUCCCCGGGCUUAACCUGGGAACUGCGUUUGAAACUGGAAGGCUAGAGUGUGGCAGAGGGGGGUGGAAUUCCACGUGUAGCAGUGAAAUGCGUAGAUAUGUGGAGGAACACCGAUGGCGAAGGCAGCCCCCUGGGCUAACACUGACGCUCAUGCACGAAAGCGUGGGGAGCAAACAGG
rnacentral:rRNA from 1 species